rnacentral:rRNA from 1 species
UCAACCGAGAUUCCCCCAGUAGCGGCGAGCGAACGGGGAGCAGCCCAGAGCCUGAAUCAGUGUGUGUGUUAGUGGAAGCGUCUGGAAAGGCGCGUGAUACAGGGUGACAGCCCCGUACACAAAAAUGCACAUGCUGUGAGCUCGAUGAGUAGGGCGGGACACGUGGUAUCCUGUCUGAAUAUGGGGGGACCAUCCUCCAAGGCUAAAUACUCCUGACUGACCGAUAGUGAACCAGUACCGUGAGGGAAAGGCGAAAAGAACCCCGGCGAGGGGAGUGAAAAAGAACCUGAAACCGUGUACGUACAAGCAGUGGGAGCACGCUUAGGCGUGUGACUGCGUACCUUUUGUAUAAUGGGUCAGCGACUUAUAUUCUGUAGCAAGGUUAACCGAAUAGGGGAGCCGAAGGGAAACCGAGUCUUAACUGGGCGUUAAGUUGCAGGGUAUAGACCCGAAACCCGGUGAUCUAGCCAUGGGCAGGUUGAAGGUUGGGUAACACUAACUGGAGGACCGAACCGACUAAUGUUGAAAAAUUAGCGGAUGACUUGUGGCUGGGGGUGAAAGGCCAAUCAAACCGGGAGAUAGCUGGUUCUCCCCGAAAGCUAUUUAGGUAGCGCCUCGUGAAUUCAUCUCCGGGGGUAGAGCACUGUUUCGGCAAGGGGGUCAUCCCGACUUACCAACCCGAUGCAAACUGCGAAUACCGGAGAAUGUUAUCACGGGAGACACACGGCGGGUGCUAACGUCCGUCGUGAAGAGGGAAACAACCCAGACCGCCAGCUAAGGUCCCAAAGUCAUGGUUAAGUGGGAAACGAUGUGGGAAGGCCCAGACAGCCAGGAUGUUGGCUUAGAAGCAGCCAUCAUUUAAAGAAAGCGUAAUAGCUCACUGGUCGAGUCGGCCUGCGCGGAAGAUGUAACGGGGCUAAACCAUGCACCGAAGCUGCGGCAGCGACGCUUAUGCGUUGUUGGGUAGGGGAGCGUUCUGUAAGCCUGUGAAGGUGUACUGUGAGGUAUGCUGGAGGUAUCAGAAGUGCGAAUGCUGACAUAAGUAACGAUAAAGCGGGUGAAAAGCCCGCUCGCCGGAAGACCAAGGGUUCCUGUCCAACGUUAAUCGGGGCAGGGUGAGUCGACCCCUAAGGCGAGGCCGAAAGGCGUAGUCGAUGGGAAACAGGUUAAUAUUCCUGUACUUGGUGUUACUGCGAAGGGGGGACGGAGAAGGCUAUGUUGGCCGGGCGACGGUUGUCCCGGUUUAAGCGUGUAGGCUGGUUUUCCAGGCAAAUCCGGAAAAUCAAGGCUGAGGCGUGAUGACGAGGCACUACGGUGCUGAAGCAACAAAUGCCCUGCUUCCAGGAAAAGCCUCUAAGCAUCAGGUAACAUCAAAUCGUACCCCAAACCGACACAGGUGGUCAGGUAGAGAAUACCAAGGCGCUUGAGAGAACUCGGGUGAAGGAACUAGGCAAAAUGGUGCCGUAACUUCGGGAGAAGGCACGCUGAUAUGUAGGUGAAGUCCCUCGCGGAUGGAGCUGAAAUCAGUCGAAGAUACCAGCUGGCUGCAACUGUUUAUUAAAAACACAGCACUGUGCAAACACGAAAGUGGACGUAUACGGUGUGACGCCUGCCCGGUGC